GGUAUAGCGCAGUCUGGUAGCGCAUCUGCUUUGGGAGCAGAGGGUCGCAGGUUCGAAUCCUGCUGCC
rnacentral:tRNA from 1 species